AAUAUUGGUCAAUGGGUGCAAGCCUGAACCAGCCAUGCCGCGUGCAGGAAGAAGGCGUUAUGCGUUGUAAACUGCUUUUGCCAGGGGAUAAAAUAGCUUUGCGAAGCUAAUUGAAGGUACCUGGUGAAUAAGCCACGGCUAACUACGUGCCAGCAGCCGCGGUAAUACGUAGGUGGCAAGCGUUGUCCGGAUUUAUUGGGUUUAAAGGGUGCGUAGGCGGCCCUGUAAGUCAGUGGUGAAAUACUCCAGCUUAACUGGAGGGGUGCCAUUGAUACUGCAGGGCUUGAGUGGAGUCGAAGUAGGCGGAAUUGACGGUGUAGCGGUGAAAUGCUUAGAUAUCGUCAAGAACACCGAUAGUGAAGACAGCUUACUAGGCUUCUACUGACGCUGAGGCACGAAAGUGUGGGGAUCAAAC
rnacentral:rRNA from 1 species